AUCUUUCUAGUAUUAUGUUAGUACAAAUGACUUCCAAUCAUUUAGUCUUGGUUAGAUUCCAAGGAAGGAUA
rnacentral:tRNA from 1 species